CAGCACACAAAAUCUGAGUCCUCUCCAAGUGUUUCUUAAUUUUGUUCAAUUGGUCUUGAUAAUUAAAUUAAUGGCGAGAUUCUCAAAGGUGCUUAGGAAGACUGAUAUUAAGAAGAGACUCUCAGUGCCGACCGGGUUUCUCAGCUCUCUUCCAUCUUUUAAUGCUGGUGGUCAUGCUGUAGAUUUUCAAGCUGUAGAUGGAAGUGGCCGUGUUUGGACCUUCAGAUGCUCAAUUCGCAGGAAUGGACAUCCAAAACCAGUUUUUUCAAAGGGUUGGCUCGCUUAUGUUCAUAGCAAGAGCCUUAAAGUUGGUGACAAGGUCCAGUUUUUAAAGGAGAAAAACGACGCUGGCGCCAAAAUGCAUGCUUACGAGAUUCGGGCUGAGAAAGAAAUCAAGAUAUUUGGUGCUGUUUUCGGAUAUGCACCCAUAAUAUAGCCCCGUUUCCGUGCAUUAAUUAGGGCUAAUAAGAGUAGUCUGCUUCUGACUCGGCAUGACUACAUAGCUAUGCUGUUGUUUUGCUUGUUCUUGUAACGUUCUCUACAUCUUACCGCUGUUUCUAUAUUUCGGUGUUGUCAACUUGUGUUAUUAUCAAAGUAAAUAAAUUUUCAAUUUGUUCGUGUCAAACAGUGUGAUUGUGAGGCAUUUUACUCUGUCUCAAACGGUGAUUCAAGCUCCAUUUCUAAUUUCUUCUUUUCGCAAGAGGGCACGACUUCUUUUGUUCGUUUUUGUUUUACUCCAUGUUCAGUUCUCCCCUUAAUUUCUUUUUCUAAACCAAGCCGAUAGAUGACAGAGGAGACGAUGCACCGAGCAGGCAGAAGAAAAAUGAGAGAAGGGUGCUGCAACGGAGAAAGACUACAACGGAGGCAACGGCACCAUCACCAACAAGCGAGUUUCUCACCGAUUAGGAGGUGGCCAAUCAGUCAACGUCACUUUAAAUCAGCAUCACCACCAGCAGAAUCAGGAGGUCUGUCACCACUGGAGAGCUGGAAAGUGCAAUGGAUUCCCAUGUCCGUCUCUCCACCGUGAACUUCCAGCACCGCCGCCGCAUGCGUCUGUGAACGAGGGAGGUGGGGGAGGAGCGAAGAGAGGGUUUAUCGGGAAUGAUUCGUCGUCGUUCUCUUGGAGGGGGUAGUAAUAGUAAUUAUUGUAUUAGUUGGGAGCACUUUGGGCAUAAAGAUUAUACUACAGGGGUAAAAAGGGAAAGUGCGGAGAAAGCGUGUACUAACUGGGUACAAGGGAAUUGAGAUUUUGGUGAUAAUUGUCAGUGCAAUAUUUGCUUUCUUGGGAGCUUAGGUGAUUGGUUGACUCAAUGUGAUUCUUUAGUGUUUUGUGUAAUGGGUUUUUGUGGGUUUUGGAUUUGGUGAUUGAUUUAGGGGGUUUUGAUGUGAGCCGUGAUGCAUUGUAAUCUGGGGCUGAUAAGCUUUAUACAGAGAGUAAAGAUGAGACUGUUAAGAGUUUGGGGUUUCCAGUCUGGACAGGCAUGGAGUACACAGGUGUAUGCUUUGUUCGUGGGUAAUUACUUGUUAUUUGCCGGAGAGUUUGUGAUGAAACUCGUCAGGGAAGAAUAUUGAUGCAGAGGCAAUAUACAUCGAAUUUAGUUGACAGCGAGGCGCUUGAGGCAAGAUGGUACUGCUCAAUUCUCAAAUUUCAGCUCUAUCUUGCGGUGAUUUUAGUGUUCCAUCUCUUUUGGGAAUUCUUUGAAGGCAAAACGGUACAACUCUAUUGCCAGUUUUCCAGCUUCACUUUGCUUUAAUUUCACUGUUGUUUGUGCUUGGAUUUUUACCAGUAGCUGAUGAUUCAGGAAAAACGAUGUGUGUGUGUGUUUCAAUCAUCACUAAACAGCAUGUUUAUUAAGUGCUAAGAUUGCUCAAACUUCUACUACAACGUUACGCUUCCACUUUCCUUUUCAAUAUGCAUUUUGAUCCCCUUCCCCUGUUGGCAGCCUACACAUAAUACGAUAAUGUUUAUUAAGCCCGCUGUUACCUUAUGAAUACGAUAAUGGUGCUUUUCUUUACCUUGGCCGCAUUCUUUACCAGAGUUCCACUUGUUAGGAUUGUCAAUUGAGGUGAGUUUAACUAAAAUUUCUUGCUUUGCAUACCAUGUUUUAAAUUUUUCUUAUGACAUAAAAUUAGUCCAGAAUAUUACUGGUGCAGAAUCAUGCUUGGAUUUGGUUGCAAAAUAUCAGACUGUUAACGAUGUUGUCUGUUAAUGGCCACUAAGAGGAUCAUUUUUCAUAGAGUAGGUUAAGAUUUUUUUCAGCUAAAGGGAAUUAUGGGAGAUGUGUAAUUUACAAUUUUCAUAUUCUAAAUCAUAUUUGAAGCAAAAGUAUCAAUUGAAAUAUAUUAUUACUGCACGAGCCACAAAAUCACUAAAAUAUGAAAUCUUAAUUGAUAAAAACCUUAAAUGUUUUUCUUUGCAUUACUAACUUAUUCAUCUUUUAAUGUCAGAACAAUGUUUUGGAUCUCUUAAAACAUGCACUACCAGAUACCUUUUAGUUUUGGAAGAAAAAAAAUUCGCUGUGAAAUUUUCUUCAACUCUUUCUUGCUUUCCGCUUGACGAUCAAGUACUCACUUCCUCUCUCUCCCUGCUUUACUAGUUUGGUGCCAGACCAGUGGUGUCUUAAGCCAUGGUAUCAUUCAUCCCAUAGCCAUCUUUAUAUUGCGUACAUGCACGCUUCUUGUGGAAACUCUCAGGUACAGUUAUCAUCCAUAGGUGAGUACUUUCCGUAGUCUACCAGAUGCUCACACACUGCCAUGGACACUUGUCUCUACCCCCACAGUAAUUAGCCAAAAACUUGUCAUUUUAGUUUUGUCUUUUGAUCUUUCAAAAUCAACUGUGUAAAUUAGCAUGAAAGAGCAUUUUCAGUCCAUAAGUUGAAUUAUACAAAUAGCAAUGUCUUUUAUACAGUCUCUUGUUUUGGUGACAAUAAUAAUCCUUGAGGUAUUUAUGUUUUUCAGGAGCUAAAAAUUCCCUCCCAUUUUAAGGUCCUUUUUGGCUGAGCAUGUGGACCUUCCUUACAAAGGCUAUAUAUAUGCCUUUUAUUCCUUUUGGUAUUCAUUAUCGUAUGCUAUUUUGCACUCGAAGGGAAAUUAGGCUCCUACACAUUUGCGUUGACGAUUCAAACCAUGAUUUUUAGAUUCAUUUUCCUACAUUUUUCACCUAUAUAGAGACCAUUGAUUCAUGCUA